rnacentral:lncRNA from 1 species
AGGUUUCCUAGUGUGUGAUGUGAAUCUUCAAGAAGGAAAUAUGCUACUUUUUGGUCAAGAUGAAGAGGUCCUGCUAAGAAAGAAGACACAUGACCAACAGGAGGAAGGAGGAAGGCACUCUGAGUUCUGCUGAUUGGAAGGCCUUAUAAAUAAGAGCUCCUUUGGUAGAAAUGUUCAUGGAGACUUUUGGGCUAAUUCCAAACCAGGGUGAAAGUAAGACACAUUCUUUCUGAGAGUGCUGACCAGUGGCAUAUUCAUGUUUGAAUGGAAAUAAACUGAAACAUGUUCACUUCAUGGGGAAGAGAAACCUGGAAAGCAGGAAUGCUAAAGGGGAACUGGGGUGAUGGUGGACAGGUAAGGUGAAGCCAGACUGCAAUGAGAGAAGGCAGCAUGAAAGGCCAGACCUAUUUUGGGACCAUACCCUGAGUCACAGAGUAACAGAAAGCAGAGGUGACAGCUGGUCUCUCAGUUUCUCAGUGAGCAAGCAUCUGGAAUAUCACUCUGAUUUUGUAAAGCUUGAGUUAGGGGCAUAGAAUCUUAAGGAAUUUGGAGAAGGACAAGGAGAGGGGGUAGUCGAAGGGGAGGGGGACUCAGGGAGUCAGAUUAGAGGAAAGAUUAAAGGAUCUAAAUAUGGAUGGCUAAUGGGGCUGGCAAGAGUCUACUAGUUCCUGACACCCUACAAAAAAAGACUUAUUUAUAAUAGGAGGUAGUAUAAUUAGAAGGUAAGAGAUGGGAACUGAAAGACUGGAUAGCAUAAGAAAAUGCUCUGGCCAAUUGUGUUAGCUUACACAACAGGACUGCCACUUCUCAGGGGUAUCUGGUGUGUGUGUGUGUGUGUGUGUGUGUACCCAAUUACUUGAGAUAUUUGAAAAAAGAUUUUCAGUAAAAUGGCACUGUAAAUUUCUCUGGGACAGAGACUGUCAUAGCACAAAGUGACCUAAUCUAUAGGGCCCUAAGAAUAGGGCCUAUGUGAAUAUUUUAUAAUUUCAUUUUAUAAAUUCAUUACUUGAUCAAAAUAAAUUAUAUGUGGUCACCUAACCUCUAAACUUGGCAGCAAGUGUCUGCAUGCAGCCCGAAUUUUGGUUUAUAAAAAACAGAGACUUAGUAAAUUAACCUCAAAUACUCCUCUAAAAUAUAAACUUCUUUCAAAAGAUUUUGAUGUGAUUCUUGCAGUCCAUUCUGUGAUGAGCAAAGGAACUCUACCAGAGCUUAGGGAAGUAGAGGCUUAGACCUCAUGUACAGGAAGUAUAGCCCUCCCAUGGGGGGAUGCAUGGAGGCCCAGAGAGAAAGAAGGCACGACCAUACUCUACUAAAUAACUCGUUAAUAACUUUGAUAAGUGAAUCCUGCAGGAUACUAUGGCAUACAUGACUCCUCUUAUAGGUUAUUUGGGAUCUGGUUAAAUGGUUAGAAAUCCAUGGAAAAAGGUACAUUGUUCAUAUAGACAUAGAUUUUGAUUCAGACUGAAACAAGCCUUCUUUUUAUUAAUUCCAGUUUUUUAAAAAAGUUUGCUGCUAGGUUUGGAGGACAGCUGGAAAAAGCCCUUGGACUUGGAUCCAUGCAAGCCUUCUCAGACAUCAGGGGCCUAUGAAGGGCCAGACAUUUUUGCUGUCUAUUUUUACUUAUAAAUUAGUCCUACCUCCCAGGUGCUGGAAAGCUAAUCCAGGCUGACAGAUUUCCUUGCUUGGCUGCCUUGGCUCUCAAUGGCCUGUGUCACUGCUAUUAAUAGUCAACUCUAUAUUCUUAAAGAGCUAUCCUGUCUGUUCUGCCAGUCCUGGGGCAAGCCGUGCUAAGAUCAAGCUGGGGUUAGGCUGGAGGAAGACAGAGGCAAUUAAGAAGUGGGGACGGGGAGGCACCAAAAGAAGAAAAGCCAAGAAUUUCUUGAGGGAAAUUAACCUUAAGCUGACUUUGAGACUUUCUUUGAUACAUUCUUUAACGAUUGGUUUUCAAAUCUCCAUAAUAUAAGAAUUAAAGAGCUCAGCAGGACCCAUGGGUAGGCAGAAAGCAAGUCUGAUUUACCAGAUUAGCUGGCCUCUAUGAGAAGAGGACUCAAGAGAUAAUCUAGUUGAGUGAACUUCUCUUCUGGCUCCCUUUUCCUUAAACAAAUGUAAAAAUAGUCCAUUUAAAACAGAGUAAUAUGUAUCUUUUUGCUAGUCUCUUCUUUUGGUUUUCAAAGAUUGUUGCAUAAUUUGGAGCAAUUCCAGUCAAUCUUGGUGCCUUUGUGUAUUGCUAUUUAUCCUACUGUGGCAGCUCUCAAGCAAAGACUGUACAGUGUGCCCAAACACUUCAGAAAUAAAACGUUUGUUAUUGGGAUUCUGGGGAAAUAGAAUUUUUGCUUAAUUCCUAGUUAAAUAUAAAACCCCUUUUGCUUUGACUCUUGAUGUUGAAACCCUUUCUAAAAUGUCUACAUUAGCUUUUCGUCUCGGCACAGUACGUGAUCAUGAUCUAAUCUUGCUCUGAUGAUUCAGCGUCUUUUAGCCCCUCAGUUCUAACAGUGUUUUAUUGUAGGGGUAAAGGGUACAGAAGGUUGUAAUGGGUCUAGGCUUUGGCUGAGAAGUUUCCUUUAUCUAAUUGUGUCUGAAUCCUGAGACAGACUGGAGUUCUUGGUUCGGUUCAAGAUAUCUGCAGACUCCAGCCCCAAAUACUGCUACUUUUAUAGCAGGUCCAGAAUGAAUCCUUUGCUUCCAUAUUAUCUAAUUGUAAGAGAGUUAUAAAGUCCUGAUGAUGAAGAUUGGUAGAAGAGCUGUGUUAACAAACCAGACAAAAUCCUUACAGAACGAUUCUCCUGGGGAAUGACUGGGUACUGCCUCACUUUCAGGCCUGAGGCCAUGUGCUCCUAAGCUUCUGCCUUGACAUGCAAGAAACCUAUAUGGGCCCAUGAAGCACAUGGAGACUCCUAGUUCCUUCCCAAUACAGCUGAUGAAGUGUAAAUGUAUUCAUUUAUGUGGGGUAGAGGAGUCACGCUGCAGUCUGUCUUGGUGCUCUGUUUGAGUUCAAGGAAAAGUACCAGGUUGGAAGACAUAAAUAGCCCAUCCAAAGACAAUUUUAAAAAAUCUCCUCUCUUCUCAACCUUUCCAUCCUAGCUGCCAGAGUGAUGGCAAUGUGAAUCACAUGGGAAGGACGAGAAAAUGGUAGUAGGUCAGGAUUCCUAUUUGUCUUGGCUUCUUUUGCUUGUUGUGACAACUAGGCGAGAACCCACUGCAUUAAACUUCUGCACAACUUCUUUUAGCUACAGGAUUUACCACAUUUAUGAAGUAAAUGGACAAAUUAGUUAGAGCUGGGUCAAGGACAUGAAGAUUCAGCAAAGGGAGCCCUGUGGUUCCUUGCUUGUUAUGAAUGAUGUAUAGAAUGAGGUAAUGCAACCAAAAUUAAGUGAGAGCUGCAGAGUCACUUUCCACACAGCUGGGAGUGGAGCUUUUUGAUGACUGCAUGAUUUUUAAAAAUGUCCUGGAGCACCAUAAGGCCUGAAUCCUGCAAUCACAUUAUCUUGCAGUCGUAUGUCACAGAUAUAUCUGGCCUUCAAGGAAAGAAGGCCUUUUCCAGGGGGAAUGCUGCAGAUAUUUUGACAUUGGGAGAUUGGGAGCCUUUCCUGCAAUAUUUGCUCCCUCUUUAUUGUCAUCUUAGCCUUCUAGCCUAGAGAAUCAGCACAAUUACAAUAGGAAACUUGGGGGAUGGAGAAGGUGUGGUUAGAGAGGAUAGGAAAUGAAAAACUGAAAUGGGGCAGUAUGUCCAGAAGGAACUAAUGAGCAAAAGCAGGAUUUACAAAAAGAGCAAGCUCCCUGGUCUACUUAGAAACAGGACUUUUACCUGCCUUAAGCAGUCCUUUACUUGAGGCUGUUUUCUUGAUGUUUACCAUGGGCCCUCUUUUCUGGCUCAUGGACUUCCCUUCUGAGAAGGAGAUUCAGGGAGACAUUGGUUAGAUCCUAGUCCUGGCUGUGCAGCAUCUUAACACUGAGGGAAAAUCUGCCACAAAAGUGGUUUUCAGGAGUGAUGUAUUAUCAGUGGCCAAGAAACAUUGAUUCUCUGAUUCCCUCUAUUUUCCUCCUCUCUUUUUUCUUUCUCUGUUGACUUUCCUCUUUAAUAUGCUAGUAGAUGUCAACCUUGAAGCUGAUAAAACAUUUUGCUUUUAAAGUAGGCUGUGUGUCUGCUCUUUCUGGAAACUCUGCCUUGGCCAGUUAGUUCCUGUGUCCCCAUUCAAAUCUCAUCUCAAAUUGCAAUCCCCAUAAUCCCCAUAUGUUAAGGGCAGGAUCUUGUGGGAGGUGAGUGGAUCAUGGGGACAGUUUCCCCCAUGCUGUUCUCAUGAUAGUGAGUUCUCACGAGGUCUGAUGGUUUUAUAAGCACUAACAUUUUCCCUGCUUGCAAUUCUCUCUCCUGCCGCCAUGUGAAGAAGGUUCUUGCUUCCCCUUUGCCUUCCACCAUGAUUGUAAGUUUCCUGAAGCCUCCCCAGCCAUGCUGAACUGUGUGUGAGUCAAUUAAACCUCUUUCCUUUAUAAAUUAUCGAGUUUCAGGUAUUUAUUUACAGCAGUG